UGCUCGAGUGGCGAACGGGUGAGUAACACGUGAGUAACCUGCCCUUGACUUUGGGAUAACUUCAGGAAACUGGGGCUAAUACCGGAUAGGAGCUCCUGCUGCAUGGUGGGGGUUGGAAAGUUUCGGCGGUUGGGGAUGGACUCGCGGCUUAUCAGCUUGUUGGUGGGGUAGUGGCUUACCAAGGCUUUGACAGGUAGCCGGCCUGAGAGGGUGACCGGCCACAUUGGGACUGAGAUACGGCCCAG
rnacentral:rRNA from 1 species